GUCCAUGUAUCUCUGGGACCUGUCGGCUGUGGCAAUCUCCCUUGCUGGCCAUGGAAGAGUAGUAUGUUCUUGUUUAUUGGCAAAGUGCUCACCAUUUAAUUGGUAUCAGAUUCUACCCAGCACAAGUAACAUUC
ensembl:snoRNA